rnacentral:rRNA from 2 species
UGGGGAAUAUUGGACAAUGGGGGAAACCCUGAUCCAGCGACGCCGCGUGUGUGAAGAAGGCCUGCGGGUUGUAAAGCACUUUUAGUGGGGAUGAAAUGUGCAGGGCUAACACCUCUGCAUUUUGACCUAACCCACAGAAAAAGCACCGGCUAACUCUGUGCCAGCAGCCGCGGUAAUACAGAGGGUGCAAGCGUUAAUCGGAAUUACUGGGCGUAAAGCGUGCGUAGACGGUUACAUAAGUCGGGUGUGAAAGCCCCGGGCUCAACCUGGGAAUUGCAUUCGAGACUGCGUAGCUAGGGUGCGGAAGAGGGAAGCGGAAUUUCCGGUGUAGCGGUGAAAUGCGUAGAUAUCGGAAGGAACACCAGUGGCGAAAGCGGCUUCCUGGUCCAGCACCGACGUUCAGGCACGAAAGCGUGGGGAGCAAACA